rnacentral:rRNA from 1 species
UUAAGCGACUAAGCGUACACGGUGGAUGCCCUGGCAGUCAGAGGCGAUGAAGGACGUGCUAAUCUGCGAUAAGCGUCGGUGAGGUGAUAUGAACCGUUAUAACCGGCGAUUUCCGAAUGGGGAAACCCAGUGUGUUUCGACACACUAUCAUUAACUGAAUCCAUAGGUUAAUGAGGCGAACCGGGGGAACUGAAACAUCUAAGUACCCCGAGGAAAAGAAAUCAACCGAGAUUCCCCCAGUAGCGGCGAGCGAACGGGGAGGAGCCCAGAGCCUGAAUCAGUGUGUGUGUUAGUGGAAGCGUCUGGAAAGGCGUGCGAUACAGGGUGACAGCCCCGUACACAAAAAUGCACAUAUUGUGAGCUCGAUGAGUAGGGCGGGACACGUGGUAUCCUGUCUGAAUAUGGGGGGACCAUCCUCCAAGGCUAAAUACUCCUGACUGACCGAUAGUGAACCAGUACCGUGAGGGAAAGGCGAAAAGAACCCCGGCGAGGGGAGUGAAAAAGAACCUGAAACCGUGUACGUACAAGCAGUGGGAGCCUCUUAAUGGGGUGACUGCGUACCUUUUGUAUAAUGGGUCAGCGACUUAUAUUCUGUAGCAAGGUUAACCGAAUAGGGGAGCCGAAGGGAAACCGAGUCUUAACUGGGCGUUAAGUUGCAGGGUAUAGACCCGAAACCCGGUGAUCUAGCCAUGGGCAGGUUGAAGGUUGGGUAACACUAACUGGAGGACCGAACCGACUAAUGUUGAAAAAUUAGCGGAUGACUUGUGGCUGGGGGUGAAAGGCCAAUCAAACCGGGAGAUAGCUGGUUCUCCCCGAAAGCUAUUUAGGUAGCGCCUCGUGAAUUCAUCUCCGGGGGUAGAGCACUGUUUCGGCAAGGGGGUCAUCCCGACUUACCAACCCGAUGCAAACUGCGAAUACCGGAGAAUGUUAUCACGGGAGACACACGGCGGGUGCUAACGUCCGUCGUGAAGAGGGAAACAACCCAGACCGCCAGCUAAGGUCCCAAAGUCAUGGUUAAGUGGGAAACGAUGUGGGAAGGCCCAGACAGCCAGGAUGUUGGCUUAGAAGCAGCCAUCAUUUAAAGAAAGCGUAAUAGCUCACUGGUCGAGUCGGCCUGCGCGGAAGAUGUAACGGGGCUAAACCAUGCACCGAAGCUGCGGCAGCGACGCUUAUGCGUUGUUGGGUAGGGGAGCGUUCUGUAAGCCUGUGAAGGUGUACUGUGAGGUAUGCUGGAGGUAUCAGAAGUGCGAAUGCUGACAUAAGUAACGAUAAAGCGGGUGAAAAGCCCGCUCGCCGGAAGACCAAGGGUUCCUGUCCAACGUUAAUCGGGGCAGGGUGAGUCGACCCCUAAGGCGAGGCCGAAAGGCGUAGUCGAUGGGAAACAGGUUAAUAUUCCUGUACUUGGUGUUACUGCGAAGGGGGGACGGAGAAGGCUAUGUUGGCCGGGCGACGGUUGUCCCGGUUUAAGCGUGUAGGCUGGUUUUCCAGGCAAAUCCGGAAAAUCAAGGCUGAGGCGUGAUGACGAGGCACUACGGUGCUGAAGCAACAAAUGCCCUGCUUCCAGGAAAAGCCUCUAAGCAUCAGGUAACAUCAAAUCGUACCCCAAACCGACACAGGUGGUCAGGUAGAGAAUACCAAGGCGCUUGAGAGAACUCGGGUGAAGGAACUAGGCAAAAUGGUGCCGUAACUUCGGGAGAAGGCACGCUGAUAUGUAGGUGAAGCGACUUGCUCGUGGAGCUGAAAUCAGUCGAAGAUACCAGCUGGCUGCAACUGUUUAUUAAAAACACAGCACUGUGCAAACACGAAAGUGGACGUAUACGGUGUGACGCCUGCCCGGUGCCGGAAGGUUAAUUGAUGGGGUUAGCGGUAACGCGAAGCUCUUGAUCGAAGCCCCGGUAAACGGCGGCCGUAACUAUAACGGUCCUAAGGUAGCGAAAUUCCUUGUCGGGUAAGUUCCGACCUGCACGAAUGGCGUAAUGAUGGCCAGGCUGUCUCCACCCGAGACUCAGUGAAAUUGAACUCGCUGUGAAGAUGCAGUGUACCCGCGGCAAGACGGAAAGACCCCGUGAACCUUUACUAUAGCUUGACACUGAACAUUGAGCCUUGAUGUGUAGGAUAGGUGGGAGGCUUUGAAGUGUGGACGCCAGUCUGCAUGGAGCCGACCUUGAAAUACCACCCUUUAAUGUUUGAUGUUCUAACGUUGGCCCCUGAUCGGGGUUGCGGACAGUGUCUGGUGGGUAGUUUGACUGGGGCGGUCUCCUCCUAAAGAGUAACGGAGGAGCACGAAGGUUGGCUAAUCCUGGUCGGACAUCAGGAGGUUAGUGCAAUGGCAUAAGCCAGCUUGACUGCGAGCGUGACGGCGCGAGCAGGUGCGAAAGCAGGUCAUAGUGAUCCGGUGGUUCUGAAUGGAAGGGCCAUCGCUCAACGGAUAAAAGGUACUCCGGGGAUAACAGGCUGAUACCGCCCAAGAGUUCAUAUCGACGGCGGUGUUUGGCACCUCGAUGUCGGCUCAUCACAUCCUGGGGCUGAAGUAGGU